rnacentral:rRNA from 1 species
GAUGAACGCUAGCGGCAGGCUUAAUACAUGCAAGUCGUGGGGCAGCAUGAGUAGCAAUACUUGAUGGCGACCGGCAAACGGGUGAGGAACACGUACACAACCUUCCUUCAAGCGGGGAAUAGCCCAGAGAAAUUUGGAUUAAUACCCCAUAAUAUAUUUGAUAAGGCAUCUUAUUAAUAUUAAAGCUUCGGCACUUGAUGAUGGGUGUGCGGCUGAUUAGAUAGUUGGCGGGUAACGGCCCACCAAGUCUACGAUCAGUAGCUGAUGUGAGAGCAUGAUCAGCCACACGGGCACUGAGACACGGGCCCGACUCCUACGGGAGGCAGCAGUAAGGAAUAUUGGACAAUGGACGAAAGUCUGAUCCAGCCAUGCCGCGUGAAGGAUUAAGGUCCUCUGGAUUGUAAACUUCUUUAUAUGGGACGAAAAAGGGCAUUCUUGUUCACUUGACGGUACCAUAUGAAUAAGCACCGGCUAACUCCGUGCCAGCACG